rnacentral:rRNA from 1 species
GACGAACGCUGGCGGCGUGCUUAACACAUGCAAGUCGAACGGAAAGGCCCUGCUUUUGUGGGGUGCUCGAGUGGCGAACGGGUGAGUAACACGUGAGUAACCUGCCCUUGACUGUGGGAUAACUUCAGGAAACUGGGGCUAAUACCGGAUAGGAGCUCCUGCUGCAUGGUGGGGGUUGGAAAGUUUCGGCGGUUGGGGAUGGACUCGCGGCUUAUCAGCUUGUUGGUUGGGUAGUGGUUUACCAAGGCUUUGACGGGUGGCAGGCCUGAGAGGGUGACCGGCCACAUUGGGACUGGGCUACGGCCCAGACUCCUACGGGAGGCAGCAGUGGGGAAUAUUGCACUAUGGGCGGAAGCCUGAUGCAGCAACGCCGCGUGCGGGACGACGGCCUUCGGGUUGUAAUCCGCUUUCGCCUGUGACGAAGCGUGAGUGACGGUAAUGGGUAAAGAAGCACCGGCUAACUACGUG